AUAACUACAUGGGCCGACAUUGUGGCCGUAGACCCAUUCAUACAAGGAAAACUCACCUGCACUGGCUGAUCUGGCUGAAGAACCCACUAGGUGCUGCACGGCAACUCUCUGAACUUCAGCUCCACUCGCUCCCCGAACUACCAAUAUCAAUACAACACUGAGUCUAACUGACCCCCGACAGACAAGCAAGUAAACUCUGGUCAAAGUCAAAGUCCUGGUCAACGUCAACCUUCCAGGUCAACCCUACUCGCCGAGUCACCCUAUUGACUCGCCGAGUUCAUAUGUUCAGAGUCCUUCUCUUUGCGACUCGACUCGCCGAGUCAGUCCAUGACUCGCCGAGUCUACCGAUUUCCGAGUCCUGACCUGUCCAACUCAUCGAGUCUCUAAUUGACUCACUGAUUCGAGUUUAAACUCGAAGGGUUUGGGGGGUUUCGCGACCUGACUCGCCGAGUCCAAGAACAGACAUGCCGAGUCCAAGACAACCUUCAGUAAACUCGCCGAGUUGUUCAUCCAACUCGCCGAGUUCCUACCCAACUUCAUCUGACUCGAUGAGCUGUUCAUCCCAUUCGUCGAGUUCCUCCUCAUCUUCAUGCUGCUCGCCGAGUCCACUCAAAGGACUCGCUGAGUCCAUUCAGAUCUCUAUACAUGCAGGGGACUUUUGAGUCAUGCAUGGACUCCAAACUGUAGAUCUACCCUUCCCAAGCCUAUUCCUCACAUAAAGUUGCAAACUUUACGUGUAGAGAAGGAGAUCUAGGAAAAAUACACCAUAAACUAGGGUUUAAGGCAAAGAGGCUCCAUAAUCAACUCAAGGGCUGAAACUUUAUGCUUUCCAAGACCAAAAUACACUUAGAUCUGAAGUAGCAACUCCAGAUCCGGCUUCUAACUCACAUGGGUCACUACCCAUGGCUAAAAGCCCCAAAACUCACAACCCAAAAUAGAUCUAAAGGAAGGGAAACGACUUAAUACCUUCAGAUGUUCAGAAAUAUCUCCCCAAUCUCAGAUCUAUAGCCCCCUCCUUGCACCUUCAAGAUCCUUCUUCUUUUUCCAAGCUUUAAAGCACUCCUCAAGAUAAUAAUUAGCUCAAAAAUGGAUAUGGCGGCUAGGGUUUGGUGUUCUGGGUUAGAGGGGAUGCAAAGGAACCCUAGGGGAGAGAAUGAGGUGAUUGAAUAGGCCCCAAGUCCCGAAUUUAGGGUUUUCCUCAAACAGACCUNCCGUGUCUCCUUGGCCGACUCGUCGAGUCGGUCACUUACUCCUCGACCCGGAUCCCGCUUGGACUCGCCGAGUUCUUCCUUGGACUCGCCGAGUCCCCCUUAAAGUUAGGGUUUUCUUUCCUUUCUUGGCGUUUAAAACUUUGGGUGUUACAACUCUCCCCCACUUAAACUAAACUUCGUCCUCGAAGUUUGCUAUGGCCCACCGUCUGGGCUCUGCUUCCAAAACCCACCAACUACCCCAACACCAGCUGUCUACCUUCGCUGUUCUUCCACCCGGUCAUUCUGACUAAUAUAAUCCUCGCGGAUAAAAACCUCGGGUCAAACCUGACCUUGAACAACUUAGAAACACAACUUACUCAAUCGACCAUCCUUCUGGUGCUCUCCUAGUACUGCACUUGAACUCAUAGGGGUUGACCCCUUCUUUCCUUUCGCGAUUCUCUUGCCUUCCCAAGGCGAUGCUCCACAACCAACUAUUUCCUCUGUCACUGUGAAGAUCCUAUCUUCACCAAUCCAUCAUCCCCACUAUGUCCAGUAUGGGUCAUCACCGUCAGUAACCACUGACACUCUUCUCUAUCAAAACCUGGUGUCGAGCACCCCUCGAUUCAACUAACUGAAUUCCACCAUACACUGCUUACCCGCAGUACUACUGACUGAAAAUCCUGCUAUUCCUUUCCUGCCUUCCGUAUGAACUGAGACCACACUGGUCCCUACCAACCUAUCAAUGUCUGGAUUACCGGCUCCCACCGGUAGCUAGUCCCGACACCACCACUAGUCUCUCCCAGCGACUUCCGAAGAAACUUCGACCACCUUUAACUGCUCAACUUAUUCUGCCAUUCAGGAACUACAAUCCUGGGAUCCCCGAUCCCCUAACUUGACUCUAAGGUCCCUACCAGGUCCCACCUGCGUUGCUAAAACUCAUGGGCCUCGCCCACGGGUCCCACCCGCCUCUAUCCUUCUAGUCCCACUAAUCUAAUCACUCUCGCUCGGGCCUCGCCCAAGGGUCUCACCCAACCAUAUCCUGGAGCGGCCUCCCAAGGUCUCACCUCUCUAGGGCUAUAUAGGCAAACUCCCUAUCAUUCUCAUCCACUACCCAUUCCUGAUCCCCGUCCGAUCACUAGGAGGUAAGGGCCUCGCCCCAACUCCGCUAUCGAAGCUACUAAGGAAUGCUACGACUUACCCGUAGUCUUACAUCACCAUCCAUUGCUGACUGCUAGUGAAUGCUACAGCUGCUCCGUAGUCUUACAUCACUUCCACCACUAACUGCUAGUGAAUGCUACGACUGCCCCGUAGUCUUACAUCACUUUCUACCAAUAAAUACUAAUGCGAAGGCACCCAUGUGCCAUUAGCUCUCAAGAUCCUCAUUCCGACUCUCUCGAGUCCUACGGGCGAUUCACAGCCUGAAUUCCCAACCAUGAACUAACCAUUGCCAUCACAUGCACUAGCUAAUGGGGAGUUUCUCAAACUCCUAACCCUGAAGUCCUCAAUCCAUCAAAUGCUGAACCACUUCUUUUCCUUCUCGGAGGUCGCACACUCAUUCUGGGUCUGCGUGCUCCUACCUUUUCACACUCGGAGGAUUCUCCCCCACUUCGAUCCCGCUUACCCCUUGUUGCUCAAUACUCAAAAGAAAUCCUUGCUACCAUUCCAUAAUCGAUCUGCUGAGGAACCCAAGCUCACCAUAGCUAGGGAUCUAACCAAUCCAUUUCUAACACUAUACAACUCCGAUCUAGCGAGACAUACCAAGUCCCUCCCAAGCAUGCUACAGUUAUUGCAUCCUAUGUAACCUUCUCCAAUAGGGCACAUCCCCUCACUACCCUUCGAAUAACCAAGGUAUGCAGAUGGCAUAUAACUCGAUCACAAUCAAAUGAUCAAAAAUAAAGUACUCAUACCGAUAAUGAUGCAAGACCAUAACAAUAUAAUCAUGCACAAAUAAAAGAACUGAAAACAGACAUCGUAUACCUGCAACGUCUGGUGCUGAUCGCGCCUCCAAGGUAGUCAUCUGAAGAGCUCUGCCUCCUACCGCAGGCGCCUCUGCACGGCCUGACGGCCGUCUGUGAUCCUCAAAGUUGCAGGGGNCAUCACCCGUCCUACUAAAAACAAACUGGGGCACUGGGCCUUCUUGUGGCCCCGCUGGUUGCAGUGAAAACAUAACAGGUCUGAUCCCUAUGAGGUGGUAACAGUACAAUCCCUGCUGAAAUGACCAGCCCGACCGCACUUGACACAGCCAGAAUCACCACCGCUACCACUCCUGCACGCGCCCCCAUGCUCCCUACCACACUUCCUGCACCGGCUGCGGUCCUGAUAAUCCCUCGAUCUCGAAUCCGAUCCCUUGGGCCUUUUGCCCGAACCUGCAGUUACCUGAACCUCAUCCGGCUUCCUCUUUCGGAUUUGCUCUAAAUCAAUCUCCCUCUCUCUAGCCCGAGAAAUCAUAUGUUCCAGCGUCUUACAACUGGAUCUGCUCACGAACUCCUUGAUGUCAUCCCUCAACAUCUCAUGGUAUCGGGCCUUCUUCAUCUCCUCAUCCGCGACAUACUGCGGUACAAGAAGAGCCCUCUCCCUGAACUUGGCAGUGAUCUCCGCCACAGUCUCAGUGGUCUGCGCCAAAUCUUGAAACUCCCGUGCCAACUGCUGCAUCUCAAUAAUCGGCGAAAACUCCGCCUUGAACCUGGCCGAGAAAUCGCUCCAACUCAUCGCGUCCAACGCCUCAUCAUCCCGCAAAGCAUGACCAAUCUCCUCCCACCAAUCUCUCGCUCUGUCCUUCAGAAGACAGGAAGCGAGUCUGACCUUGUCCCCCUCAGGGCACCGGCUCGUACGGAAUGCGUUGGCAACAUCAGCCAACCAUCUGCUGCUAGCGAUGGGGUCCCUAGCCCCAUGAUAAUCUGGUGCCCCGCAAGCCCUGAACUCCCGAAAUGUCAAGGUACGCGCUCCCAUCAAAGCCAUCAUCUCAGUACGGAAGGCUCCCAGCCUCUCAUCCAAAAUCUCCAAUAUACCCUCCUUGACCGUGCCAAAGAUCACAGGAGUCUGAUUCAAAAUACUGCGCGUAACCUCGGCGGAUAUCAACUCCCUCAUUCGCUCCUCGAGCUGCUCGGCCCCUGAACCCGAGCCUGAUCCCUCUCCGGCGCCUGAUCCGCCCACUGGUCUCUCUCGCAACGUCACCAUGCUGAAAAUAUACCACAACCACUAUCAGAAUACUCAUCACUGAUGCGAGACCAAACACACCCUACCAGGUUCCCGGUCUUGUCUCGGCCUUUCCCGAAUCGAGUACGGAUCCUCUGCUUUCAGUAGUACGGGCCCAUACUACCUUCCACAUCUAUCCGUACUUUCCUCAGGAAUUGCUUUGACUCCACCAGGUCCCUUAUCCACUACUACUGCUCCCAGCACUAUCUCAUCCUAGGCUUACCCUAGGAAAACCUCUGACUCAACUCAACCCGUCCUCAGCUGCUGAAGGUCUCCUUGUGAUGCCAAUUAGCCAUCACCUGGAUACCAUCACAUGUGACGAGGCUCAGAUAAUCCUUCAAGUAAAAGACUCGUCCCUACAACGGUUGGACUCAAACAAGAGCUGCGCAAUAGGACCAAAUCCAACACUCUGAGAUUAUUCAACCCUGAUCACAUGUGACGUGUCGUAUCCACCUAAUGGCUAACUCCCAUCACUCAGUAUCCCACAAUGCACAAAUCAAACAACAUUCAGACAAGGGAAAAUCUAACCACAACAUACUCAAGCAAUCAUAUUCACAUAGCAAGAAAUUGAACUAGCAUGCAACACAAACUCAUAAACUCAGGCAUAACCUAAACAGGCUAUCCUACCACUGUCUAAUCAGCACUAUCAUGCAGCUCAAAACACAUAUAAUAGGCACAUAAGGCAUCAUCCCUAGAUCCUUAGUCCUAAUCUAGCAUGCUGUUCUAUCAACUGAUAAUCAUAACAUAAAUUGUAUGGGUAUUUUGGGGUACUUACUUGAGCUCGGUUGAUUGCAUGCACCACACACUUUUUCUCUUUUCAAAGUUCUUUUCUUUAUGGAUUAUUCUUGCUUUUCUAAAACUGUUUUCCUUCCCAAAACUCUCUUUUACAAAACUGUCCUCUUUAUUUUGAAAACUGCUAAACCGAUUCCUCAGUUUGAGUUCAAACACACUCGAGAGCAUGUCCGAAUCCCUCAAACCAAGGCUCUGAUACCAACUUGUAACGUCCCAAAAAUUAAGGCUAAAAAUUUCUUUUAAUAAAACAUUACUUAAAGAAAAUUCAUCAUUUCAAAACAUAAGCUGAGUAUUAGUUUCCAAAAUACAUGUUCGUUAUCAGAGUAAACAUUCCCAGACUGUCUAAUCUAUGGUGUGUGCCAUGCGAUCACCCCGAGCUCUUCCCUCCGCUACCGGAAGUACCUGAAACCAAAACUGAAAACCGUAAGCACAACGCUUAGUGAGUUCCCCACCCUACAACAUACCAUGCAUAACCACAUACUGCACAUACUGGGCCACGCUCGCUAUCCUGGGCCUCGCCCACCUACCUCGGGUCUCGCCCGCUACAACGGCCCUGCCGCUCCAGUCCCCGCCUGGCUUCGAGCCCCGCUCGGAUACAAAUCUGUUUCACUUAGGCCCCGCCUGUCACAGGGCCUCGCCCACUAACAUAUAAUAGCACAUAAACAUAUCACAUUUCAUCACAUAAGCUAAACACAUACUAACGGAUCCUGUCCUAAGGCCUUGCCUAUCUCUGGGCCCCACCCUUAUCCUGCUGCUGAUGAGUCAUGGAACCCCGUCCAUACUCUUACUGAUAAUGAGGUACGGACCCAACCUACCCUCACUCCUUCCCUAACUUGGGCCUCGCCCCUGAUCUGCUGCUACUGAGAUGUGGAACACCAUCCACACUCUGCUAUUGGUGAGAUACGGGACCUCGCCCACACUCACCUCCCUACCAGGCACAUACAAGUAUCACACAGACAACAAGUAUAAACUAUCACAUAAACCAUUCCUUGGGCACCCGCCCUCUAUCAUUGGACCUCGUCCCGAAUAUCAUACUAGCAUACUGUGCCUAGGGCUAACCCCCGGGUCUUCUACUCAUAACUACAUGGGCCGGCAUUGUGGCCGUAGACCCAUUCAUACAAAGGGAAACUCACCUGCACUGGCUGAACUUGCUGAUGAUCCCACUAGCUGCUGCCCGACAACUCUCUGAACUCCUGCUCCACUCGCUCCCCGAGCUACCAAUAUCAAUGCAACACUGAGUCUAACUGACCCCCGAAAGACUACCAAGUUAACUCUGGUUAAAGUCAAAGUCCUGGUCGAAGUCAACCUUCCAGGUCAACCCUACUCGCUGAGUCACCCUAGGGACUCGCCGAGUUCAUAUGUUCAGAGUCCUUCUCUUUGCGACUCGACUCGCCGAGUCAGUCCAUGACUCGCCGAGCCUACCGAUUUCCGAGUCCUGACCUGUCCAACUCACCGAGUCUCCAAUCGACUCACUGAUUCGAGUCUAAACUCGAAGGGUUGGGGGGGUUUCACGCCCUGACUCACCGAGUCCAAGAACAGACUCGCCGAGUCCAAGACAACCUUCAGUAAACUCGCCGAGUUCCUACCCAACUUCAUCUGACUCGACGAGUUGUUCAUCCCACUCGUCGAGUUCCUCCUCAUCUUCAUCCUGCUUGCCGAGUCCACUCGAAGGACUCGCCGAGUCCAUUCAGAUCUCUAUA
rnacentral:lncRNA from 1 species